UUCUUUUUAUUUUAUAUUAGAAUUUUUAAUUUGUAAUUAAAAGGAAAUAAGGUUGU
rnacentral:tRNA from 1 species